GACGAACGCUGGCGGCGUGCUUAACACAUGCAAGUCGAACGGUGAAGCGCCUUCCUUUUUGGUGGGUGUGGAUGAGUGGCGAACGGGUGAGUAACACGUGAGUAACCUGCCCCCUUCUUCUGGAUAACCGCAUGAAAGUGUGGCUAAUACGGGAUAUUCUGGGUCUGUCGCAUGAUGGGUCUGGGAAAGAUAUUGUUUCGGUGGGGGAUGGGCUCGCGGCCUAUCAGCUUGUUGGUGGGGUGAUGGACUACCAAGGCGGUGAGGAGUCGACGGCCUGAGAGGGUCGGCCGUCCUACUAGGACGACGAGGCCGCGAAGACUACGGCGGGCAGCAGCAGGGAGGAUUAUGGCACGAUGGGAGCAAGCCUGAAGCAGCGACGCCGCGUGAGGGAUGGAGGCCUGAGGGUUGUGAACCUCUUUCGCCAGUGAAGCAGGGCUGACUCGUUUAUGGAUGGGUUGACGGUAGCUGGAUAAGAAGCGCCGGCUAACUACGUG
rnacentral:rRNA from 1 species